rnacentral:rRNA from 1 species
CCCUUAGAUGUUCUGGGCCGCACGCGCGCUACACUGACGAAUGCAACGAGCUUAUAACCUUGGCCGAAAGGUCUGGGUAAUCUCCAAAUUUCGUCGUGAUGGGGAUAGAUUAUUGCAAUUAUUAAUCUUCAACGAGGAAUGCCUAGUAAGCGCAAGUCAUCAGCUUGCGUUGAUUACGUCCCUGCCCUUUAUACACACCGCCCGUCGCUCCUACCGAUUGAAUGGUCCGGUGAAGCGUUCGGACCGUGGCCUUUGGACGGUUCGCCGUCUGUUGGCUGCGGGAAGUUCGUUAAACCUUAUCAUUUAGAGGAAGGAGAAGUCGUANCA